rfam:Salmo salar isolate Sally breed double haploid chromosome ssa27, whole genome shotgun sequence.
AAUGCACCAAUUUGUAAGUCGCUCUGGAUAAGAGGUUCUGCUAAAUGACUUAAA